CCCCGGGUGGUGCAAUGGUUAGGCACCUGGCUGACCUCUUGGUUGGUGUAGACUAAGAGGUAGUGGGUUUGAAUCCCACCUUGGUAA